rnacentral:rRNA from 1 species
AAGACCUUGCGCUUUUGGAGCGGCCGAUGUCUGAUUAGCUUGUUGGUAAGGUAAAAGCUUACCAAGGCUUCGAUCAGUAGCUGGUCUGAGAGGACGGCCAGCCACACUGGGACUGAGACACGGCCCAGACUCCUACGGGAGGCAGCAGUGGGGAAUUUUGGACAAUGGGGGCAACCCUGAUCCAGCCAUGCCGCGUGAGUGAAGAAGGCCUUCGGGUUGUAAGGCUCUUUCAGCCGGAACGAAACGGUUACGGUUAAUACCCGUGACUACUGACGGUACCGGAAGAAGAAGCACCGGCUAACUACGUGCCAGCAGCCGCGGUAAUACGUAGGGUGCGAGCGUUAAUCGGAAUUACUGGGCGUAAAGGGUGCGCAGGCGGUUUUGUAAGUCAGAUGUGAAAUCCCCGGGCUUAACCUGGGAACU